AGAGGCUGUUAAAAUACCCUAAAAGUGCCAGAUCUUCUCUGACCUUGGAAGCUAAGCAAGGUUAGACCUGGAUAGCACUGGGAUGGGGAAAACCAAGGAAUGCCAAGUGCUGUUGGUU
rnacentral:rRNA from 11 species